rnacentral:rRNA from 1 species
UGGGGAAUUUUGGACAAUGGGCGCAAGCCUGAUCCAGCCAUGCCGCGUGCAGGAUGAAGGCCUUCGGGUUGUAAACUGCUUUUGUUACGGAACGAAAAGACUCUGGUUAAUACCUGGGGUCCAUGACGGUACCGUAAGAAUAAGCACCGGCUAACUACGUGCCAGCAGCCGCGGUAAUACGUAGGGUGCGAGCGUUAAUCGGAAUUACUGGGCGUAAAGCGUGCGCAGGCGGUUAUAUAAGACAGAUGUGAAAUCCCCGGGCUCAACCUGGGAACUGCAUUUGUGACUGUAUAGCUAGAGUACGGCAGAGGGGGAUGGAAUUCCGCGUGUAGCAGUGAAAUGCGUAGAUAUGCGGAGGAACACCGAUGGCGAAGGCAAUCCCCUGGGCCUGUACUGACGCUCAUGCGCGAAAGCGUGGGGAGCAAACAGGAUUAGAUACCCACGUAGUCCCUGAGCGGGCUGGCAAGGCG